UGAGGAAUAUUGGUCAAUGGAGGAAACUCUGAACCAGCCAAGUCGCGUGAAGGAAGACGGUCCUAUGGAUUGUAAACUUCUUUAGUAGGUGAAUAGAAGCAUGUACGUGUACGUGUAGGCAUGUAACCUAAGAAUAAGUAUCGGCUAACUCCGUGCCAGCAGCCGCGGUAAUACGGAGGAUACGAGCGUUAUCCGGAUUUAUUGGGUUUAAAGGGUGCGUAGGUUGCUGAUUAAGUCAGCGGUGAAAAGCUGUGGCUCAACCAUAGUCUUGCCGUUGAAACUGGUUAGCUAGAGUACAGAUGCUGUGGGCGGAAUGCGUAGUGUAGCGGUGAAAUGCAUAGAUAUUACGCAGAACUCCGAUUGCGAAGGCAGCUCACAAAACUGUAACUGACACUGAUGCACGAAAGCGUGGGGAUCAAACA
rnacentral:rRNA from 1 species